AUUAAAUUUGAAGCGAUUCGUUGUGUCUGAAAUUAAUUCAAAAUGAAGUUUUUCAACUUAUUUUUCGGUGUAAUUGCUGCUAUCUUAUUUGUAUUUGCAGGAGUCAAUGCAAGUGACAGUUGCCUUGAACGUGGCAGUACAUGUGAGAGUGACUCAGACUGUUGUUCUAAUUUCUGCUUGUCUUUCACUCAUUCAUGUGUUGGCGAUGACUCUAAAUAAAAAUUCGACCAAUGUAAUUGUAAUCAAAUUAAUUAAUUAAUUAAAAAUUUUGAACAUUAAAAAUUAUUGUUUCAUUA